GACGAACGCUGGCGGCGUGCUUAACACAUGCAAGUCGAACGGAAAGGCCUGCUUUCCCUUGUGGAUUGCGGGUACUCGAGUGGCGAACGGGUGAGUAACACGUGAGUGAUCUGCCCCCAACUUGGGUAUAAGUCUGGGAAACUGGGUCUAAUUCCCGAUAGGACUGCAGGGUGGUGCCUGUGGUGGAAAACGAUUUUCUAGUGGUUGGGGAUGAGCUCGCGGCCUAUCAGCUUGUUGGUGGGGUAAUGGCCUACCAAGGCGGCGACGGGUAGCCGGCCUGAGAGGGUGGACGGCCACAUUGGGACUGAGAUACGGCCCAGACUCCUACGGGAGGCAGCAGUGGGGAAGAUUGCACAAUGGGCGGAAGCCUGAUGCAGCGACGCCGCGUGGGGGAUGACGGCCUUCGGGUUGUAAACUCCUUUCGACCGCGAGGAAGCCACCUGGUUGGAAGGGUGGUGACGGUAGUGGUAGAAGAAGCACCGGCUAACUACGUG
rnacentral:rRNA from 1 species